UACAGAGGGUGCGAGCGUUAAUCGGAAUUACUGGGCGUAAAGCGUGCGUAGACGGUUAUUUAAGUCGGGUGUGAAAGCCCCGGGCUCAACCUGGGAAUUGCAUUCGAGACUGAAUAGCUAGGGUACGGUAGAGGGAAGUGGAAUUUCCGGUGUAGCGGUGAAAUGCGUAGAUAUCGGAAGGAACACCAGUGGCGAAAGCGACUUCCUGGACCAGUACCGACGUUCAGGCACGAAAGCGUGGGGAGCAAACAGG
rnacentral:rRNA from 1 species